rnacentral:tRNA from 1 species
GGUUCUAUGGUGUAGUGGUUAGCACUCUGGACUUUGAAUCCAAUGACCUGGGUUCGAAUCUCGGUAGGACCU